AUUGAACGCUGGCGGCAGGCCUAAUACAUGCAAGUCGAACGAGUGGCGGACGGGUGAGUAAUGUCUGGGAAACUGCCUGAUGGAGGGGGAUAACUACUGGAAACGGUAGCUAAUACAGCAUACCAUCGGAUGUGCCCAUAUUGGAUUGGCUAGUAGGUGGGGUAAAGGCUCACAUAGGCGACGAGCCCUAACGGGUCUGAGAGGAUGACCAGCCACACGGGAACUGGGACACGGUCCAGACUCCUACGGGAGGCAGCAGUGGGGAAUAUUGCACAAUGGGCGCAAGCCUGAUGGAGCCAUGCCGCGUGUAUGAAGAAGGCCUUCGGGUUGUAAAGUACUUUCAGCGGGGAGGCGUUACCCGCAGAAGAAGCACCGGCUAACUCCGUGCCAGCAGCCGCGGUAAUUC
rnacentral:rRNA from 1 species